rnacentral:rRNA from 1 species
GACGAACGCUGGCGGCGUGCUUAACACAUGCAAGUCGAACGGAAAGGCCCUGCUUUUGUGGGGUGCUCGAGUGGCGAACGGGUGAGUAACACGUGAGUAACCUGCCCUUGACUUUGGGAUAACUUCAGGAAACUGGGGCUAAUACCGGAUAGGAGCUCCUGCUGCAUGGUGGGGGUUGGAAAGUUUCGGCGGUUGGGGAUGGACUCGCGGCUUAUCAGCUUGUUGGUGGGGUAGUGGCUUACCAAGGCUUUGACGGGUAGCCGGCCUGAGAGGGUGACCGGCAACAUUGGGACGGAGAUACGGCCCAGACUCCUACGGGAGGAAGCAGUGGGGAAUAUUGCACAAUGGGCGGAAGCCUGAUGCAGCAACGCCGCGUGCGGGAUGACGGCCUUCGGGUUGUAAACCGCUUUCGCCUGUGACGAAGCGUGAGUGACGGUAAUGGGUAAAGAAGCACCGGCUAACUACGU